UACGUAGGGCGCAAGCGUUGUCCGGAAUUACUGGGCGUAAAGGGCGCGUAGGCGGCCUGUUUAGUCAGAAGUGAAAGCCCCGGGCUCAACCUGGGAAUAGCUUUUGAUACUGGCAGGCUUGAGUUCCGGAGAGGAUGGUGGAAUUCCCAGUGUAGAGGUGAAAUUCGUAGAUAUUGGGAAGAACACCGGUGGCGAAGGCGGCCAUCUGGACGGACACUGACGCUGAGGCGCGAAAAGCGUGGGGGAGCCAAACAGG
rnacentral:rRNA from 1 species